AGGAGGCAGCAGUGGGGAAUAUUGGACAAUGGGCGCAAGCCUGAUCCAGCAAUGCCGCGUGAGUGAUGAAGGCCUUAGGGUUGUAAAGCUCUUUCGCACGCGACGAUGAUGACGGUAGCGUGAGAAGAAGCCCCGGCUAACUUCGUGCCAGCAGCCGCGGUAAUACGAAGGGGGCUAGCGUUGUUCGGAAUUACUGGGCGUAAAGGGCGCGUAGGCGGCCUGUUAAGUUAGGAGUGAAAGCCCCGGGCUCAACCUGGGAAUUGCUCUUAAUACUGGCAGGCUUGAGUUCCGGAGAGGAUGGUGGAAUUCCCAGUGUAGAGGUGAAAUUCGUAGAUAUUGGGAAGAACACCGGUGGCGAAGGCGGCCAUCUGGACGGACACUGACGCUGAGGCGCGAAAGCGUGGGGAGCAAACAGGAUUAGAAACCCUAGUAGUCCA
rnacentral:rRNA from 1 species